UACGAAGGGGGCUAGCGUUGUUCGGAAUUACUGGGCGUAAAGGGCGCGUAGGCGGUGUGUCAAGUCAGGCGUGAAAGCCCCGGGCUCAACCUGGGAACAGCGCUUGAGACUGGCACGCUCGAGUUCGGGAGAGGAUGGUGGAAUUCCCAGUGUAGAGGUGAAAUUCGUAGAUAUUAGGAAGAACACCGGUGGCGAAGGCGGCCCACUGGUCCGGUACUGACGCUGAGGUGCGAAAGCGUGGGGAGCAAACAGG
rnacentral:rRNA from 1 species